CCCGCUGAAUUUAAGCAUAUAAGUAAGCGGGGGAACAUAAACUUAACAGGGGUUUGCAGUAAUUGCGGAAUGAACAGUGCCAGUCGCAAGUGGCUUGCUUGAUGCAGGUCAAGCUUUGCAAAAUUGGAACACAUUGCUAAUUGAUGCGUGCAGUGGUGUCUUUUGGGGCAGAGCAACGGAGAAGGUGAAAUUCCUGUGUUAGCUGCAUGAUUGUUCUAUGUCAAGCAUGGGUUGCAGAGUCGUGUUCCUUGGGGCUGGAAUGCAAAGUGGGUGGUAGAGUUCAUCUAACGUGGUAUAUUGGUCUGGAGCUGAAAGAUAACAAGUACCAUGAGGGAAAUGUGAAAAGAACUUUGAAAAGAGGGUUACAUGAAUUUGAAUUGGUUGGGGUGAAAUGAAAUGAUGUAUGAUUGUGCUGAGCGAGGUUGCUGUUGUGAUCAAUGAGGUUUCAAGUGUAAUCGCUUGGAUACCUUAGUGGUCAAUGCAGAGUACUGAACUUUGUUGUUUGAUGUUAUCAUUUGCUGAAUUUGUGUGGGCAAAAUGUUUUGCAGCUUGCAAUGUUGUCCCUACACUUCUGGCAAUUGUGCAUACCAGCAGUUUCUAAUACUUUGUGGCGCUACUGAAUUCACAUAUUUGAAAAUACCCAAAACAUUGAUGCAUCAUUUGACCCGUCUUGAAACACGGACCAAGGAGUCUAAAGUAUGUGCAAGUCAAUGACAAGAGUUGCUGGCGGAAUGAAAAUGAUUGUUAAUAUUGUUGCCUUGACAGCCAACCUUUCAACUAUGAUUGGUCUGCGUGUGAGCACAUGCUUUAGGACCCGAAAGAUGGUGAACUAUGCCUGGGAAAAACAAAGUCAGAGGAAACUCAAAAUGGAAGCUUGCUGCGCUACUGAGGUGCAAAUCGUUCGUCAUACUU
rnacentral:rRNA from 1 species